GGAGUCACUGUCCCUGGAGGUGUUUCAGAACCGUGUGGAUGUGGCACUGAGGACAUGGUCAGUGGGUAUGGUGGGGAUGGGCUGAUCGUUGGACUGGGUGAUCUUAGUGGUCUUUUCCACCCUUAAUGAUUCUAGUACUUCUAUGAUUGUUUCCAUAACAUAUUAUUUUGCAGAGUAUAUAUGAUUCUGGACAAUUAUACAACAAUUUAGACAUUCAUUCAGUAUAUACUAAAACAUAAAAAAAUGUUAUUUUCCCUCUCUUACAUUCACUACGUAAAGGAAAUAAUUCAUGACCUAUAUAAAUGACACACAAAAACACGCUCCCCUGCCUUUUCCAAAGUUUAAUCCAACAAUCAAAAAUGACAACAGCAUAGAUAAGCACAAAUGUCAACCAGCUGCACACAAGCACAGGCAUGUUUCAUGGCAGAGAUGGAAAUAGCUCUCACUUUAUUACAGAAAGAAGGCUGGCUGGAGUCAUGUUUGCUUUCCAGUAUAUAUUCUUAAACAUUUGUAUUCCUCAGUUAAAAAACAAAACGAGUGCUGCUAACAUGAAGACAUGCUUCAAAUGACCUUUCAGUUUUCUAGAGUGCAGUAUACUUUCUUGAAGUAACACAUGCACAUGCAGAAAUGCAUACACUCAUAUGCGGAAUACCAGCAGAUUUUGCUGAUGUUAAAGUGCUUUUGUCGCAGAAUGUGUUCUCUAAACUGGAAAAGGUAUCUCAAGUCAAAUGUAGUGAUUUUUCUUAAACUGCAGUGAAAUUUUCCCCUCAGAGUCCAAGCGCAAGGAAAGCAUGGAAAGUGAAAAAAACAAGGGCUGCUCUUUGGGGAGGGGGUGGCUGGCUUCCAAGGGCACAAAGCAAGUACACGUCGGAGCAGCUGCAAAUGCUUGAGCUGGGAUCCAGGCGCACAACCACAGCCCUCAUGGUGAUUAAGGAACAAGUUAACUCUCUGUAGAAUGUUCUGUUAUUUGGAACACGCAGCGCUCAGCACUGUACAGCCAGGCAGGGAAACACCAACACAUCGCCUUCACUGCUGCCUCAAAUUUAUCAGCAGUCUCGGAUCAUUCCCAGUACACACUGCACUUGAAAUGCAGGCACCUGGUUAUACCAGCUUCCGUAGCUAUGCAUUAUAAAAGGAUCCCUCCUCUGAUUUUUUUACUUUCAAACCAGUUCAGCUAUCACCUGAUUGCAGUUUGCUUUGCAGCCCUAAUCAACAUAUUACAGCCUGGGAACUGCUGUGCCAUGUCAUUGCACUAAAAGGAAAAAAGCCCUUCCUAUGAGGCAUCCGAUUGCCUGUUCACACAACAAAAUUAAACCCUUUAAAAAAUAAAAAUAAAUAAUUAAAAAAAAGCAAGCGUUAAGCACUUUUUGAACUGUGCGGCCGUGUGAAGUUAAGUCCUUCCCACCCCCUUCAUAAUGCUGCCUGCAUUAUGCCUCUGGAAACUUGUCCAGGUGUGCUUCCCACUGCCUGGAAUCACGGGAUUGCUGGAGACAGUCUCUCGAAACCGCUGACACUGGCUUUCAAUGCACUCCUUACUUCCAAGCAAAUAUUCUGCAAGCGUGUGAUUUUUUGGCACUACCGUAACUAUUGUGGCAUUGCCCCGAAGGACAUACUAACCCAGUUUAAAAUAAGGGCAUUUAAUAGUGCAGAGCUCUAUAACUUGCCUAGUAGGACUUUAACCACAGCUUUGUAAAUGAUUUCAAAAGCAACCUCAGCUGCAAACAAAAAUGAAUUCUCAAUGGACUGUUUUAUUGUUUUUAAUAAUAAUUUGAAGGCUGUUUUACAGGCUUUUGUUUCUGGAAAGUGUACAGGUUUGCCAACCUUAAGCACAUUUGUGAAGGCAUAAAAUUUAACUUUAGCUUUUGAAUCAGAAUCUAAGUUACUGUAUUGAGGAUGAUUUCUGUAUCAAGCUUAGUCAAAAUAUGCAGUCAAGCAGAAAGACAGACCAAGUGUCUGACCCUCCCUCCUGCCCACACAGAGAAAUAUGUAUACUAUGGCCAGAUCUAGUAAAUGCUGUUUCAGGGGGAGUUCAUUUCAGCUUCUUUAGUUUAUAUCCAGAGCAUUUGCUGUGUUUUAUGUCAAUGGCCAAGCGCUACUGGACAUGAGAUUCAAGUGUUUAGUGGAAAGUACUUAGCUUUGAACAGCAGUUUAGUCUAUGUACUAAUAAUGAAAGGUGCUCUUAGUGCGUGCAUGGCUGCCGGUUUUUUAACACAGGAAGAGAAAGUAAUUAUCUUCAGCAAGAAAACAGGCUGAAAUUAUUCAACGUGAACAAAAUUGCCCAAAUAGAGUUGUAAAACCAUUCAAAGGAUUUCAUAAUAAAAUCAUGCCCAAAUUUAAAUUUCUUCCAUGAUUGACGGUUGGACAAGGUGUGCCGUAAGGUUGAUAUACCUCUUUCAGAGAUCCCUCGUUCUAUUUUGGCUGUGAGCUACUUCAUAACCAAACGGUGGGAAAAUUGUUCUAGUGAUUUUGAAAAAUGCUGAGACCAAGAAUCCAGUAAUUGACCCAGAAUCCAUCUCCAAGCACAGAGCGUUUACAUCCAGCAUACUGCUGCUGCCUUGAGCCAGAUUUUCCUUCCUUCCAUUUCCUGGUCCAGGGCAGAUAGAGAGUGAUUUGGCAGCUAAAUUAGAGCUAUUGAAUAUUGUGUUUGUCAUGGUAUUCUUUUUAUCAGCCAUUUUGUUCUGGUGCUGAUGUUGCUCCAAUUCCCACAUUAACCUUGCAUUUUUGUUUCACAGCUGGUGAGAGUAUGAUGAAGUAACUCUAAAUGACACACAAAUAUGAGUUUGUGUUUGCAUACCACAGCCUCGUUUUCCAUCAAUAUUUUUGAAAACAAAAGUAUUUUUCUUAAUUAACACAUUGAUCCUCAAUAAUAUAACAAUAGAACAAUAUUGCCUUUAUUUGAAUUAUGUAAAGCUUUCAGAAAAAUGUUUGAAAUUGUCCUGUUUUCUUGCAUACACACAAUAUUUAGUACAUUUUGCUCUUAAUUGACAAGUAUUCCAUGUCUUCUUUCAACAUGACUUCUACACACUGUUAGAAAAUUACUCAAUGCAUAGAAUGGACUAGUCCAGUAAGUCAAGGAAAAAUUUGAUUUUUGUCCUUGCAGACUCAGCUUUGGUGUAAUCAGAUGGGACUAAGUACUGACUGGGCAAUUUUAAGUGUUUCUCCUACAAAGUGGGAAUGAAGCUUUUGCCUCCAUUUGCAAAAGAAACAAAGUGGCAACUGCAGUAUCAGAGCUCUUGUGCAUCGGAGACUCUCAGAACUUGUUUCUGGGUAUAAAGACAACAAAUAAGAUGAAAAUUGGUUUUCCCAGUGUGUUUGGAUUUUUAAGGAGACUCAGUCUUCAGGCAACAGGCAUCUGAAACCAGGGAAACAGUGUUAAGUAGCCCAACAUCUGACAAAGCAGAUAGCACUGACAAGGCCCCAGUCAGGUCAAGCGGACAAAGCUCCACAAAAUCCAAAUUUGGCCCUGUCAGCAUGACAUUAUUUGUGUCAGGGGGCGUACAGCAAAAAUAUGGUAAGCAGAUGGAAACUGGGUCAAUCAAAGGCAAAGAGGCACAGGAGGAAGAGCUUAGCUCCUAUCACUUCUUGAAGACAAGGUCAAAUGAACUCUUGCUUUUUUGUUUGUUUAUACAUGCAUCAUUUUAUUUUAUUCAAAUAUUUACCAGGGCCUUUCAAAUAAUCAAGCAAGUGAGAUUUAUUAUUGUUGUUUCCAAAGCUGAUUACAGAGGAGAUAUUGCUUGUUAAUCUUUUCUCAUUUAGAAUAUCUGCUCCCACACCCCUCCUCAGAACACAGAUGCUUAAACUGCAGGACAUCAUUUUAAUCCCGAGGUACUGUCACGGCUAUGAAUCCAACUGGUUUUAUUCCAGGUGUUUGCAGAGCCUUGUUCCCACGCCUGCUGGCAGAGAGGGCUGAAAGCACCCCAGACACUGCUGCGAGCACGUAUUUCUCUGUAAACACAAGUCUCAUACAUCUGUACCCCAGUCAGGUCCAUGUCUGCCUAUGCACACACCAAUCUGUGGCACUGGUUUGGUGCAGCAUCACAAAGUGGCCCAUGAUGGUGUAGGGCCUGAGGUGUGGAUCCGGUACCUCCAGCACCCAAACAAGGCCUCCUUUCUGCAUGCUCUGUGCCACAGUCACUGUGCAAACACCCGGUUAUGAACAUCACAUACCUUGGCCAUUAGUCAUAGCACGUCGCAGGCAAGCAUGUGUUCAUGCAAAUAGCAUAAAAGUCAACAAAUGCAUAAAACCCUCUCAGCUGGUCUCAAGUGAGCAUAUGCAAACAGGAAGAUGCAUUUACCAUGAGAGGAAGGGCUGCAGAGCAGCUGCCAGGCUCCAUCUGGCCACCCAGAGGCUGUGCUAGCUGCCAUCGCAGAUCAUCCCCGUUCAGCAGGCCUUCAGGUCCCAGAGCCACCCACACCCCGCAGCUCCAAACCAGCCCUGAGUCAUCAGGAAGUUCCCACAGGGCCAGAAAACAGAAGUACACUUCCACUCAGUUCUCCCCAUGCUGCUCGUUGUGUGGAGGCCGCAUUGUAGUCCUACUCAUGCAACCAUCACCUGCCCCCUGAGCUCAUAUCCGUACCCUUCUGUCCUGGUUUCCUCUUGUCCCCAUCAGCACUGCUGUAUCUCCUUCCCAGCACUGGUUUCUUAAAUAGUGUUUCAUGGGCAAUUCCACAGCACAAAGAAACUUGGAUUUCUCACAGGUUUGCUGAAGUCGCCCAGUUCUACUCCUUCCUCUGCUGUAAAUCAUCCAACCCUGAGGACCUGAAGCAAAAGCACAUACCUGAGAGUUACGUUGCAACCUUUUAUUGGUGCAGGGUAUUUUCUGGCUUAGAUUUCUGCUAAGAAAUGUGAAAGAGGCACAAGCCAAGAAUAUAAACGAGCUUCCGGAAGGUGCUUUAUGAAAGCAGCAAGACAUAGGAACCCUUUCGGUUACCUCCAUAACUCACUUCCACACAGCGCAGUGAAGUGGGUCAUCCUGCAGGAGAGCCAGGUUCACUUGCACUGCCGCCAUCCCACACACUUUCAGCCCAGUGCAGCCAGUCCAACGGCUCCUCUCGUCCAGGAGGCACCACGACCUGGACAUGGAGCAAUACGAGUUCCUUCACACUUGCGGACCAGACAGUAAGGAGGCUGACACUACGAGGUGGAUGGACAAAAAGAAUCGGAAGAAUGUGUUCUACA